rnacentral:rRNA from 1 species
GACGAACGCUGGCGGCGUGCUUAACACAUGCAAGUCGAACGGAAAGGCCCUGCUUUUGUGGGGUGCUCGAGUGGCGAACGGGUGAGUAACACGUGAGUAACCUGCCCUUGACUUUGGGAUAACUUCAGGAAACUGGGGCUAAUACCGGAUAGGAGCUCCUGCUGCGUGGUGGGGGUUGGAAAGUUUCGGCGGUUGGGGAUGGACUCGCGGCUUAUCAGCUUGUUGGUGUGGUAGUGGAUUACCAAGGCUUUGACGGGUAGCCGGCCUGAGAGGGUGACCGGACACAUUGGGACUGAGAUACGGCACAGACUCCUACGGGAGGCAGCGGAGGAGAAUAUUGCACAGUGGGCGGAAGCAUGAUGCAGCAACGCCGCGUGGGGGAUAACGACCUUCGGGUUGUAAACCGCUUUCGCCUGUGACGAAGCGUGAGUGACGGUAAUGGGUAAAGAAGCACCGGCUAACUACGUG